rnacentral:lncRNA from 1 species
GUGGCAUUUUAAAGUACACUUUUAACUGGCAUAUUCUACAAAUAUUCUUAAGAUCGACAGGUUCCGAGGCAUCUUAAAGUACACUUUUAACUGGUUUGUAAUCUACAAAUAUUCUUAUGAUCAAUAUUGAAUAAGUUCUGUGGCAUCUUAAAGUACACUUUUAACAGGCAUAUUCUACAAAUAUUCUAAGGAUCGACACAGGUACUGUGGCAUCUUAAAGUCAUUUUUCACUGAUUUAACAGGUACAUGACAUACUUAAAGCCUCCGACAGAUAUAAAUUCUAAUAAUUCCCAAGACACUCCACCUACUACUUCCAGUUUGUCUGUAAGGUGAUAUUAUGUAUUGAAUUAAACAGCCAAUAUCAAUAGUUAAUUCUAAAAGUUCAAUGGUUUC